UACGAAGGGGGCUAGCGUUGUUCGGAUUUACUGGGCGUAAAGCGCGCGUAGGCGGAUCGCUAAGUCAGGGGUGAAAUCCCAAGGCUCAACCUUGGAAUUGCCUUUGAUACUGGCAAUCUGGAGUUCGGGAGAGGUGAGUGGAAUUCCGAGUGUAGAGGUGAAAUUCGUAGAUAUUCGGAGGAACACCAGAAGCGAAGGCGGCUCACUGGCCCGAUACUGACGCUGGAGGCGCGAAAAGCGGUGGGGAGCAAACAGGG
rnacentral:rRNA from 1 species